rnacentral:rRNA from 1 species
GACGAACGCUGGCGGCGUGCUUAACACAUGCAAGUCGAACGGAAAGGCCCUGCUUUUGUGGGGUGCUCGAGUGGCGAACGGGUGAGUAACACGUGAGUAACCUGCCCUUGACUUUGGGAUAACUUCAGGAAACUGGGGCUAAUACCGGAUAGGAGCUCCUGCUGCAUGGUGGGGGUUGGAAAGUUUCGGCGGUUGGGGAUGGACUCGCGGCUUAUCCGCUUGUUGGUGGGGUAGUGGCUUACCAAGGCUUUGACGGGUAGCCGGCCUGAGAGGGUGACCGGCCACAUUGGGACUGAGAUACGGACCAGACUCCUACGGGAGGCAGCAGUGGGGAAUAUUGCACAAUGGGCGGAAGCCUGAUGCAGCGACGCCGCGUGCGGGAUGACGGCCUUCGGGUUGUAAACUGCUUUCGCCUGUGACGAAGCGUGAGUGACGGUAAUGGGUAAAGAAGCACCGGCUAACUACGUG